UACGUAGGGUGCAAGCGUUGUCCGGAAUUAUUGGGCGUAAAGAGCUCGUAGGCGGUCUGUUGCGUCGGCUGUGAAAACCCGGGGCUCAACCCCGGGCCUGCAGCCGAUACGGGCAGACUAGAGUUCGGCAGGGGAGACUGGAAUUCCCGGUGUAGCGGUGAAAUGUGUAGAGAUCGGGAGGAACACCGGUGGCGAAGGCGGGUCUCUGGGCAACUCCUGACGCUGAGGCGCGAAAGCGUGGGGAGCAAACAGG
rnacentral:rRNA from 1 species